rnacentral:rRNA from 1 species
GAUGAACGCUAGCUACAGGCUUAACACAUGCAAGUCGAGGGGAAACGACAUCGAAAGCUUGCUUUUGAUGGGCGUCGACCGGCGCACGGGUGAGUAACGCGUAUCCAACCUGCCCACCACUUGGGGAUAACCUUGCGAAAGUAAGACUAAUACCCAAUGAUAUCCAUAGAAGACAUCUGAAAUGGAUUAAAGAUUUAUCGGUGAUGGAUGGGGAUGCGUCUGAUUAGCUUGUUGGCGGGGUAACGGCCCACCAAGGCAACGAUCAGUAGGGGUUCUGAGAGGAAGGUCCCCCACAUUGGAACUGAGACACGGUCCAAACUCCUACGGGAGGCAGCAGUGAGGAAUAUUGGUCAAUGGGCGCAAGCCUGAACCAGCCAAGUAGCGUGCAGGAAGACGGCCCUAUGGGUUGUAAACUGCUUUCAGUCGGGAAUAAUUCGUCGGUCGUGACCGGCGUUGCAGGUACUGUCAUAAGAAGGACCGGCUAAAUUCCGUG